GACGAACGCUGGCGGCGUGCUUAACACAUGCAAGUCGAGCGGAAAGGCCCUUCGGGGUACUCGAGCGGCGAACGGGUGAGUAACACGUGAGUAAUCUGCCCCAGGCUCUGGGAUAGCCACCGGAAACGGUGAUUAAUACCGGAUACGACAACCGAUUGCAUGAUCUGGUUGUGGAAAGUUUUUCGGCCUGGGAUGUGCUCGCGGCCUAUCAGCUUGUUGGUGAGGUAAUGGCUCACCAAGGCUUCGACGGGUAGCAGGUGUGAGAGCACGGCCUGCCACAUCGGGACUGAGACACUGCCCGGACUUCUACGGAAGGCUGCAGUAACGAAUCUUCCGCAAUGCGCGAAAGCGUGACGGAGCAAUGCCGCGUGCAGGAUGAAGCCCCUCGGGGUGUAAACUGCUGUCAGGGAUUAGGAACCAAAUGACCAUUCCCAAAGGAAGAGACGACUAACUCUGUGCCAGCAGCCGCAGUAAAAC
rnacentral:rRNA from 1 species